CCGAUGGCGACCGGCGCACGGGUGAGUAACACGUGUGCAACCAACCCCGUACCGGGAGAUAACCCGCGGAAACGUGGACUAACAUCCCAUGAGACUCUAGAUCCGCAUGGCUCUAGAUUUAAAAUUCCGGUGGUACGGGACGGGCACGCGCGACAUUAGGUAGUUGGCGGGGUAAGGGCCCACCAAGCCGACGAUGUCUAGGGGUUCUGAGAGGAAGGUCCCCCACACUGGAACUGAGACACGGUCCAG
rnacentral:rRNA from 1 species